rnacentral:lncRNA from 1 species
ACCGUUGAGCACACAGCUGAGGCCACAGCCGAACAUGAAAGUGGCUUGUGUUUGUGAGCCAGGGUUCCCGCAGCUCCUGCAGUUGUGGUAUUUAUUCUUUGGAAGCAACUUACUGGCCACUCAUAUGAGAUUUGAACUAUCUCGUCAUACUUCAUGUAGAGAGUGUCUCUCACACAUUUUUUCUGUGGCUCAGAACAUCAUUUUAAUGGUUACAGCAUGUAGCCAGAUGCCUUCCAAGGCUUAUUUUGGGAUGUAAUUCUAGUACAUGAAUUUGUAAAACAUGAUUUAUAAAAGCUGCCAUGGUCUUACUGAGGCAAUCAGACGCUCUCUGUAGAGGCAGGGACAUACACAUCUCUGUACGAAGUCUUUUACCGACCAGAGUGGAGGGUGACUUUAAUGAGAGUUAAGGAAAAAAAACUGGGCUUAAAACAUUUAAUGAUUACUAUAUGAAAACAAAAAUGUGUUUUUUUGCAGAAAACAGUGCAGUAAUUUUAAUCUAGUACCUGAAUACGUUGUUUCUCGUCUUUAAAAUGUGAGUGUUAAUCAUCUGAUUUUAUAUAUCUUUUAAGGUCGUACCUAAAAUAUAUUAAAAAAAAACUCUUACAAUUCAAGAAUAAAAAGACAAUCCAAUUUGAACAUGGGCAAACACUCAGAAUAUUUCUACAAAGAAGUGCCGGUGCCCAGUCAAAUCGGACAGAAGUGCUCAGCAUCUGUAGUAACUGGGCAAAGUUGAAACCACAAAAAAUUAAAACCGCUUCACACUCACUGGGAUUGAAAAGGCAGAUAAUAACAAGUGUGGGUGAGGAUGUAGAGAGAUUGGAACGUCCAUACUCUGCUGGUGAGGGUGUGAAUUGGUGCAGCCGCUUUGGAAAAUCGUUUUUCCAGUUUUCUGACAGUUUCUUAAGAAGUUUAAACAUAGGAUGACCACAUGACCCAGAAAUUCCAGCCCUAGGUAUACCCUCCAGAAAAAUGAAAGUAUUUGUUCACACAAAAACUUGUGCAUGAGUGUUUAUUAACGGCAUUACUCAGAAUAGCUAAAAGGCAGAAACAGCAUAGAUGUCCACCAGCUGAUGAAUGUUGUGUGUUCCUGCAGCAUGAGAAGUGUUCAGCCAUCAAAGGAAAGAAACACGGAUUCAUGAUGCAGCUGAGAUUAAUUCUGAAAAUAUGCUAAGUGAAGGAAGUCAGUCACAGCCUCGGUUGAAUGAUUCCAUCUAUAUGAAAAGUCUAAACCAGGCAAACCUAUGAAGACAGAAGGUGGAGUAGUGGUUGGUUAGGGCUGGGGAAGGGGAUGCUGGAAUUUGGGAGCUAUGGCUAAAGGGUUUGGAGUGAUGAAUAUAUUCAGAAAUUGCACAUAUCUGUUAAAAAACCAGCAGAGCAUUAAAUUGUAUACUUUGAAUGGGUAAAUUGUAUGGUUAUGAAUUGUAUCUCAAGAAGGUUGUAAUUAAAACCAUCAUUUGAUUUUUACUUGCUUUAGAAGAAAAUUUUGUAUUUCUUUUUCUUCUCCCCCCCCUACUUUUUAGGGCCACAGUCAUGGCAUAUGGAGGUUCCCAGGCUAGGGGUCCAACUGGAGCUACAGCUGCCAGCCUACACCACAGCCACAGCCACGCCAGAUCCAAGCCACGUCUGUAACCUACACCACAUCUCAUGACAACACAGGAUCCCCAACCCACUGAGUGAGGCCAGGGAUCGAACCCACCUCCUCAUGGUUCCUACACUGGAUUGUUUCCUCUGCGCCACAAUGGGAACUCUUUUUUAAAAAUUGUUUUUAUUUCUUCAUUCUCCUAUGGAAAAGUUCCUUUGCAACGACCAGGCAUGUUGGACUCUUUGCAGAGCCAGGCAAAUGCGGUGUAUUUCCUUUUCCCAGCCUUUGUUUACCUUGUCCCCUUGUCUGGAGUGUUUUUCUCUCUCAUCCUCUGAGGUUCUGCAGUAAUGCUCUUUCUUCUGGGAAACCUUCCCUGAUGAGCCUGCUGGCAUACUUUCUCCUGGUGCUCUCACAGCACUCACUGGUAGCUGCCAUCUCCUCAGUGUUGCUCAGACGGGCCCCUUCAAUAUUAUGUAGCCCCAACCCAUCCUUUCCUGGGUGAGAGAGCCCACACACAGGGGGGAGGACGGCUUGAGAGCAAGCUUUCAGUUCUUCCUGGACUCUUGAAGCCGUGAGGGCUUUGCUCGUGGCCUCAAGGGGGUCGCACACAACUGCCUGGGAGUAAGAUCUCAGGUCUUCCUAGACUCUUGAGGCCAUGAGGGCUAUGCGCCAACCCCCAAACAUGAACAAGGGGAAGAAAGUCCAUUUUAGUCUUCAUUUUGUCCUUAUAAGAUCAUCUUCUUUGCUUUGAUAUGCUGGAAGUUUCUGGCUUGUGUGUGGGACCAUAGAAGUGGUUAUCAGAGCCGAGGCCUAUCUGGGUACCAGAAGGCCUUGGAAAAGCCAGGCCAGUUGAAAGCUUUAGGCCAGAUUUGGAUUUCAGCCCCGCAGAUGUAUCACACACUUCCCUCCUAUUACAAGUAAAGACAUGUGUACUUCAUGGUGAUGCUGAGUUUAAAGGGGGGUUGCUUCUGUCUGAGACAGCACCCUGGAUCUUGUAUAACUUCUCUCUUGCAUCGUAUCAAAAUCGUGAUUUAUACAUGACGUGGCUUAUGUAAAGAGGACUUUGAAGUGAAAGGUAGUAAAAUGAGAUGACGGACAAGAGGAGAAAAGAGAAUGGCAUAGGCUUUAUGAGAAUUCGUUUUUCAUCCAGUUAACCACUUAGAUGUUGGGAGAACACGUUGAACUUGAGGAGGUCUCGUUCUUGGACCUGUGGUAGUGAACGUGGUCUUUUCUGCAUCCCCAGGGAAAUGAUGAGUUUAAAGUAAACAAUAGCUCCUUGUCUCAUGUCACUGCUAUCAAAGUGCAUUAUAAACAGGAAAGUUUUUGGAAAUUGCCAUACAGAGCUUAUAAGAAUUAUAGUAGAUCGGCAUAUUCUCAACUCGGUUUAAAAUUUAUUUUUCAGGUUCUCCUGUAUCCUUAAUGCUGGACUUAGAGCCACCAGCAGUUAAUAAAAUGGGUGCAUGAGAUUGUCUCUGUCUUUGAAAACACUGCACUUUCUUUUAUGCUGUUGCCUGCUCCAGCAUGAUCAGCAGUCCGGGGAGGUGGCUGCUCUUGGCAUGGGGUGUUCUGUCCUCCUCCAGCCCCCAGCCCCAGCAAAGGAAGGCGGAGGUGUACAUCUGGACGGGUCUGCUACUCCGUUCUCUAUUCAAUCAGAGAUCCCUGAGUAAAUCUCCUCCUUUGAUUUUUAUUUGGGCUAAUAAUCUUUGCACCUCUUUUCUCUGUCAGAUAAACCCAGAGAAGAGUCUUUGCUUUGUCCAGACCUCCCAUUUAUUAUGCAUGACUCAGGAAGCCCCUUUGGGUAGAAAUUCAAAGUGAUAUUAGAGGCAGAAAUACAACUUCAGAGAGGCAGGUCUUGGGGAAGCCAUCCUGGCCAUUCUUGAGCUGUGUGUUUGUAGGAACUAAUAUUAUGGUCGUCGUACAUAGCAUUUUAGGCAUUGAUUCUGGAAUUCGCUUAUUAGAGCUGAGCUCCAGAAAUGAGCUGCAUUCCAUGUGAGAGACGGAACACAUAUGCUUGGCAUUUUGCUUUCUGCCUGUUUGUCCUACCAUUGCCUGGUAAUGAGAAACCAGGUGUUCCUAAUUCUCUUCCUCUGUCUCUUUAACUUUAUCUCACAUCAAGGAAGACACCGUUGAGUGAGUAACUUGUGACUUCAUUGACUCUCCUGCAGACUCCCGAAGUCAUCACUCUGCACUGACACCUUCACCUUCCUUUAGAUACUGUGUGUGUUUCUAAUUCUCUUUGGAUUAUUCAUCAUCAGUGUGCUGGUCCUGGUUGCGGGUUUCCAGGAUGUAUGUACCUCACCAGGAUGGUGAAAGGGUAGAGACCCCAGGGGCGCUUAUUGCAGAACUGAUGCCAUCACCCUGGCCUCAAAUCUAGAAGCAGCUCGGUGUAGUUCUUAUAAACUCCAAAGUUAAAAAGUGAAUUUUUAAAAAGGACUGAAACAUUGCACUAUCUCCAGGACAUCAGAUUUCCUUGGAGACUUUGGAAGAAAUAAAAUCAAGUAAAGAUUCGGGUCAGACGCUAAGAAAAGUAUGAAUAGGAGAGAUAAUUUUUUAAACGAAGGCAGAAGCAUGGAUUGAAUUGGGAGUAAAUUUUACCUUGUGGCAAGGGUAGCUCAUAGAGCCCAAACAAGGAGAUCCAAAAGCAAAACUUUCCUGUGACUGCAUUCAAAAGUGGAACCAGCAUAAAGGAGUAUUAGAGUUGUGCCUCCGUGAAGAGUGAUAACAAGAGCUGUGGCCCAAGGACAUGGAACAAAUGACAGAAGUCAAACAGUGACUUCCUCAAAUAAAAAUCAGGUCUAGAAAACUAACUCUCAAGUCCCCCUGGGAGAUAAGACCAUGGCUUUUUAUCUCAAAAGAACCAAUCCCUAUAGACUAGAAGAACAAUUAGAACAAAUUCGGACCAGUUUGCGAGGGCUUGGCUGGGAGGACCAGGAUCAGUCCUGCUAGCUCUGUUCGAUGAGCUUGAAGAUGACAGGUUUAUUCAAAUGGGGUAGUAGGCAGAGUCCUGCAAGGGAACAUGCUCCUGGGGCAUAUGAUGCAUGAGUCGGAGCCAGUAGUCUCAAAGUGACUGUCUUUGGGUUAUGUUGGACUUGGAAAUAUAUAUGUUUUGCUAAUAAACUUUAAAAUAUUAAUUUAAAAAUAAGAAUAUGGAGAUUUAGGGAGUUCCAGUCGUGGCGCAGUAGAAACGAAUCUGACUAGGAAUUGUGAGGUUGUGGGUUCGAUUCCUGGCCUUGCUCAGUGGGUUAAGGAUCUGGCGUUGCUGUGAGCUGUGGUAUAGGCUGGAGGCUACAGCUCCAAUUAGACCCCUAGCCUGGGAACCUCCAUGUAGCACAGGAGCAGCCCCCCCCCCCCAAAAAAAAAGAGAGAGAAUAUGGAGAUUUCAAAUAAAACAUUCCAGGGAUAGACACACUGGCACCCUAGGCUCACCACCUCAUGGGGCAGCCAUCAGCUGGAGCCAGCAGUGAGGUCAUUCCAGGUGGGGAUUUUUCUCCCCAGGUUAUUCAUUCUUCCACUUGUCCCCCUUUCUCUCUUUUUGGUCACCUCUGAAGGCAUUUGGGUUGCUCCAUCUGUUUAAAAGCGAGGUACAGACAAAAUGAGACACACCUAAGGGAGCUGGCCGGCAAAUAAAAAGCACAGACCCGACCUGGGCUGGAUGAUGGAUUGAAGGAAGGAUGUCAUGGGGCACAGUUUGCCUCCUCUGCCAGGUAAAGUGGAGGCCAGCUUUGGGUGAACAAAAGAGGCCAUUCAGCUCAUAGCUCUUAUUAGGUGCCUUGUCACAAAACCGAGUUUAGAGGUAGAGGGUUGAGGAAAAACAUGUCAUGGGUCACGGGUCAGGAUAAAUGGUUGAAUCAUAGCAGCUCCGACUGUAGGGACCCUUCUGACCUGUGGCAAAUGAGGAUGUGUCCCCUGUAAACCUCUUCAGAUGCAACACCAGCUGUGGAAGGGGUCCCAAGACGGAACUGAUAGAAACGUACUUACAGGCUCUUGAUAUUUGGAGUUGAUAGCAUUUGAGAGGAAUUGGUGGGGAUGCCAUUGGUGGGAGAAGAUAGGACCCCAGCAGAAGUAGUGUUGCUUUGAAAGACCUCACAGCCAAGAAAGGGGCUUUGGCACAUGGUAUUCAUGGGAUUGUAAAAAACUGUUACGGAGCAGAAUUUAAAAACUGGAAUUAAUGUGUUUUAGGAGUUGUAACAAAUAGCCUUAUGUAAGUGGAGGAUUAUUUUUCCUUAGGAAAGUAACUCUGAUGCGGAAAGUGAAGCCCCUCGAAUGUCAUGUGUUCAGAGAAUAAAACAAAGGUGAGAGGGACUGAGUGUUUGGAUCCUUCCAAAAUUCAUGUUUUGAAUUCUAACCCUCUAGUUAAUGGUAUUAAGAGGUAGAGCCUUUGGGAGGUGAUUAGGUCCCAGGCGGGAUUUCAGUGCCUUAUGAGAGAGACAAGGACAACGCUCCAGUGUCAGGAUGUCUGACCCACUGUAAGAAUAAGGAUGAUCAGCAUCCCCUGCUAUUCUCAAUGAUGUGCCUUAAACUCCUUCACAUCCAAAACCUUCGUGAAAAUCCACUCACCACAGCAAUGCCAUGAGCUUGAAGGGGGAAGGAAAGAAAAACCGCCGAGUUCCACGUCUGGAGCCGAGGAAAGAAAAUGCCCACAGGAGAUGAGAUAGAAGCAGGAUGAACCAAGAUCAAAAGUUC